rnacentral:rRNA from 1 species
UCGAUUCCCUUAGUAGCGGCGAGCGAAACGGGAAGAGCCCAAACCAACAAGCUUGCUUGUUGGGGUUGUAGGACACUCUAUACGGAGUUACAAAGGACGACAUUAGACGAAUCAUCUGGAAAGAUGAAUCAAAGAAGGUAAUAAUCCUGUAGUCGAAAAUGUUGUCUCUCUUGAGUGGAUCCUGAGUACGACGGAGCACGUGAAAUUCCGUCGGAAUCUGGGAGGACCAUCUCCUAAGGCUAAAUACUCUCUAGUGACCGAUAGUGAACCAGUACCGUGAGGGAAAGGUGAAAAGCACCCCGGAAGGGGAGUGAAAUAGAACCUGAAACCGUGUGCUUACAAGUAGUCAGAGCCCGUUAAUGGGUGAUGGCGUGCCUUUUGUAGAAUGAACCGGCGAGUUACGAUUUGAUGCAAGGUUAAGCAGUAAAUGUGGAGCCGUAGCGAAAGCGAGUCUGAAUAGGGCGUUUAGUAUUUGGUCGUAGACCCGAAACCAGGUGAUCUACCCUUGGUCAGGUUGAAGUUCAGGUAACACUGAAUGGAGGACCGAACCGACUUACGUUGAAAAGUGAGCGGAUGAACUGAGGGUAGCGGAGAAAUUCCAAUCGAACCUGGAGAUAGCUGGUUCUCUCCGAAAUAGCUUUAGGGCUAGCCUCAAGUGAUGAUUAUUGGAGGUAGAGCACUGUUUGGACGAGGGGCCCCUCUCGGGUUACCGAAUUCAGACAAACUCCGAAUGCCAAUUAAUUUAACUUGGGAGUCAGAACAUGGGUGAUAAGGUCCGUGUUCGAAAGGGAAACAGCCCAGACCACCAGCUAAGGUCCCAAAAUAUAUGUUAAGUGGAAAAGGAUGUGGCGUUGCCCAGACAACUAGGAUGUUGGCUUAGAAGCAGCCAUCAUUUAAAGAGUGCGUAAUAGCUCACUAGUCGAGUGACACUGCGCCGAAAAUGUACCGGGGCUAAACAUAUUACCGAAGCUGUGGAUUGUCCUUUGGACAAUGGUAGGAGAGCGUUCUAAGGGCGUUGAAGCAUGAUCGUAAGGACAUGUGGAGCGCUUAGAAGUGAGAAUGCCGGUGUGAGUAGCGAAAGACGGGUGAGAAUCCCGUCCACCGAUUGACUAAGGUUUCCAGAGGAAGGCUCGUCCGCUCUGGGUUAGUCGGGUCCUAAGCUGAGGCCGACAGGCGUAGGCGAUGGAUAACAGGUUGAUAUUCCUGUACCACCUAUAAUCGUUUUAAUCGAUGGGGGGACGCAGUAGGAUAGGCGAAGCGUGCGAUUGGAUUGCACGUCUAAGCAGUAAGGCUGAGUAUUAGGCAAAUCCGGUACUCGUUAAGGCUGAGCUGUGAUGGGGAGAAGACAUUGUGUCUUCGAGUCGUUGAUUUCACACUGCCGAGAAA